CCAACUAAGUUUGUUAUUGGUAUGAGCUUUCGUGUGCAUGCACACUUCUUCAGUAGCGGUAUCUGAAGAAGUGUGCACGCACACAAAAGCUCAUACCAAUAACAAACUUAGAUGG
rnacentral:miRNA from 1 species